CGAACGGGGAGAUUCAUCGUCAGCGGCGCUGGCUUCGCGUCGGUCGGCGAUGUCCCGCGGAGUCCUCGUGGCUCGCGCGCGGGCACGCUACCGUGCGCUCGAUGUCCGGCGCUCGUCGUCGUGCACUUCUCCCCAAGUAGAACGUCGCGACCCGCUGGGUGUCGGUCUACGGCCCGGGUGAGGUGACUGUCGCGUCGCCGGUAAAACGGCACGCGACAAACCCUCGGUCGCCCGGCCGGCUGCUCGGCGGUACGCGCAAGGUAUCAGGCCGCACGCUUAUUUGGUGCGUCGAGGCCGUCGCAAGCGCGCGCCACGGUACUCGGAGGUUACGGACUUCGCGCCGUCCCCGGUCCUGGCCCGCUGUUGGUUACAGUACGGUUCACCUUCGACAGGCCUGCGAACGUCUCCCGCGUGUUAAUAGCGCGCGGGGGACCGAUACCGGUCGGCGACGCUACUGCUUUGGGUACUCUU
rnacentral:rRNA from 1 species